AGGAUGAACGCUAGCGGCGCGCUUAAUGCAUGCAAGUCGAGCGAUGAGACUCCUACGGGAGCACAUCAGCGGCAGACGGGUGAGUAACACGUAGAUGACGUACCCUCAAGACGGGGAUAACGGAUGGAAACAUGCGCUAAUACCGGAUGACCUUACGAUGUCAGAAUGGUAAGGAAAGCUACGGUGCUUGAGGAGCGGUCUGCGGCCCAUCAGCUAGUUGGUAGGGUAAAGGCCUACCAAGGCGAAGACGGGUAGGGGGUGUGAGAGCACGGCCCCCCACAAUGGGACUGAGACACGGCCCAUACUCCUACGGGAGGCAGCAGCAGGGAAUAUUGCACAAUGGACGGAAGUCUGAUGCAGCGACGCCGCGUGAGUGAAGAAGGCCUUCGGGUUGUAAAACUCUUUUGAGGGGGAAGAGCGAGGACGGUACCCCUGGAAUAAGCGUCGGCUAACUACGUGCCAGCAGCCGCGGUAAGACGUAGGACGCGAGCGUUAUCCGGAUUUACUGGGCGUAAAGCGUCUGUAGGCGGAUGUGUAAGUUGGGCGUGAAAGCUCCGGGCUUAACCCGGAGAGGCCGUUCAAUACUGCAUAACUUGAGGGUGUCAGAGGGGAGCGGAAUUCCCUGUGUAGCGGUAAAAUGCGCAGAGAUCGGGAGGAACACCAGUGGCGGAGGCGGUUCCCUGGGGCACACCUGACGCUGAGAGACGAAAGCUAGGGGAGCGAACAGGAUUAGAGACCCUGGUAGUCCUAGCCCUAAACGAUGAAUGCUAGGUGUGGGAUCGAAUGGUUCCGUGCCGGAGCGAACGCGAUAAGCAUUCCGCCUGGGG
rnacentral:rRNA from 1 species